UAAGUAACACAUCUACCACUUCGCGAAGAAGCAGCUGAUUUAUUUGACAGUGCCAACACAUCCAAAGACUUCUUUUUCACCGAAGCUAGCAGGAACUAGUUGAAUAGCUACAUCUGUACCUGGGGAGCAAUGGAGAGUCAUACAACCUAGGCGAAGUGUUAGUAAAAAGGUAGUCAGGACAACUUCCACCAUCGUCAACAAGGAGGAAGACUGCUUUUCAGACAGCAAUUAGAUCUUUAGCGGGUSACCGUCUGGAGGUAUGCAUCUAUUUCUAUUUUCUAUGUAGAUAGAUGAGAGCCAUCCUAUUUUGGAUCCAGGAAUUUCUGCUCAGCAAGUGAGCU
rnacentral:lncRNA from 1 species